GUGGAAGGGCCAUGGCUCGGUGGUCGAGCAUCCGCUUUGCAUGCAAGAGGUCCCAGGUUCAAUCCCCAGCUUCCCCA